rnacentral:rRNA from 1 species
CAAUAGCGUAUAUUAACGUUGUUGCAGUUAAAAAGCUCGUAGUUGGAUCUCUGGAGGGAGCGUCGGCCCGUAUUUACGAGUGCGUGACGUCUCUGUCCAUCCUUGCGGGAAGGCACGGCAUUGAUUUGUUGUGUCGGAUCGCAUCAUUUACUGUGAAAAAAUUAGAGUGUUCAAAGCAGGCUUUCGCUUGAAUACAUUAGCAUGGAAUAAUAAGAUAAGACUUUGGUGCUAUUUUGUUGGUUGAGCCUAAAGUAAUGAUUAAUAGGGAUAGUUGGGGGCACCUGUAUUGCGUUGUCAGAGGUGAAAUUCUUGGAUUUACGCAAGACAAACAGCUGCGAAAGCGUCUGCCAAGGAUGUUUUCAUUAA